rnacentral:rRNA from 1 species
CUAAGUUUGAUGGCGACCGGCGCACGGGUGAGUAACACGUAUCCAACCUGCCGAUGACUCGGGGAUAGCCUUUCGAAAGAAAGAUUAAUACCCGAUGGCAUAGUUCUUCCGCAUGGUAGAACUAUUAAAGAAUUUCGGUCAUCGAUGGGGAUGCGUUCCAUUAGGUUGUUGGCGGGGUAACGGCCCACCAAGCCUUCGAUGGAUAGGGGUUCUGAGAGGAAGGUCCCCCACGUUGGAACUGAGACACGGUCCAAACUCCUACGGGAGGCAGCAUG